AAUGAAUAGCAGCCAUCAAGUUUAAGUUUUUGGAUAAAGGGAGAAAAGAGUAGCUAUUUGAAGAGAAAUUUGUACAGGCCGAAGCAAUUUCUUCAUCGUGUCUUCCAACAGUGGGAAGAAGGUGAGAACGAAGGUGAGAACGAAGGUGGAGAUGUGUUGGCCGAGCUACCUAUUGAACCAAGAGUUUCCUGAAAGGACAAGCUAGUUGGUAAAACAACAAGUGAUAAACCAUAAAAGUGAGCAUAGGGAAGUGAAAGGAGUGAAAAACGGGCCAAAAUCAGACAAAAAGAGCUAUCUUCAAGAACCACAUAGCCUGGGCACUUCCACACGGGUUGGGUACACACCUGUGUGAGCCACACCGACUGGGCACAGGCCCCUAUGAGCCAAACGGGCUGGCCACACGCCCAUGUGCCAGCCCGUGUCAAUUUCGAACCCUGCUUCUCUUUUACGCAGAAAAACCCAAUUUUUAGGGUUUCUGAGCAUUCUAAAGUUUAUAAAUACCUAUGAGAAGAGGACUAAAGAGGGCACGCAGAGUGGAACGAAGAAUUUACUAUAAGAACGCCAAAGAAUUCAACUCAGAAGUAAGAUCUCCUGCAAGAUUGAAGAUCUCUAUUCAAUUUCUCUAGAAGUUUUUGGGUUUCUUUAUGUUUUGUUGUUUUCCUGAUUUUGAGAUGUUUUCCUUCCAAAUUAUGAACUAAAUUCCCUAGAUACCUAGGGAAGAUGAAACAUAUAAUGAAUCUUAUUAUUUGAUUUUCUAGAUUAUAUGAUAAAUACUUGUUCUUGUUCUCAA